UUGGUGUGUUCAGAGCUGCUGUUCUAAAGACCAUGAACAGGAGUUUAUAUCACACCAUAGACAAUGUAGGAGUCCAGAUGAGUGAAGGGAGAGAAGGAUUUGUGUCCUUCAUCAAACAACUCCUGACAGGU